UUUUGAAGUUGCAUGGGUUGGUUUUUUGCUUUGUUAUUUGUGGAAAAAAUGAAAAUAAUUUAGGGUGCUUUUGGACUGCUUACGUAGGAAACACUUCUACUCAUAACCUCUUUCGUUAGGAGUGUUUUUCUUAGAACCACGUCGAAAUUUUUAUUAAACAAGAAAGUGCUUUCUCCAAGUAGUUUAAUUUCUUCUACCAAACCUGCUCAAAGGCGCGUUUCGCGAUCCCACAAUCCUCUCAAAUGUGUAGACCUUUUGUUUUGCUGGCAAAGUAGGGUUUAUUUUCCUGGAAAAUAAACAGAAAUGUCCCUUGCAGAGGAAGACUUGAAAAUGGCUUCAUUUGUUGAUGACAUAAAUUCAUAUUCUUAUCUAUACCCUACGGAGUUGCCAUCCAAGAAGGCCCUCUUCAAGUGGAACCUGACUCUUUUCAUCUGUUUCAAGGGUGGAAUCGAGAAAGCCAGAGCGUUAUUCAUCAGCUGCACCAUUAUCUCGUAAGUUCAGCUUCAUAUGUAGAAUGAUGAUCACCAUAUAUCUGUAUCCGUGUUAUGGUAAUGGCCAUGGACGUCGAACAUAUUCAUACUCACUGGGCACUGUGUUAUAUAUUAUGCAGCUGAUGCGCGCCUGCGCAUUGUUUCUGAGCGUGUUGACAUUGUUGAUAAUCUCAUCAUUUCUAUUUCGGUAACUCCUGAUAAGAUCACUACUCGUUAAAUGCAAAUUCCCUUAGUUACAUUGCAAGGUUUAUAAUUGAAUUUCCUUUGAUUCAGAUAGGUCCCCCGAAUUCAAAGAUUAUAAAAUCACAAGACAAGAGUACAUGGACUGCAAAAGAGGUUGCUGAUUCUGUUUUGGCUGACAAGUCUGCAUUGGUAAUGUACCACUCGGAUCUGAUCUAAAAGCAUUUGGUUCUAAGGCUGAUUAGUAAAAAUUAGUGUUGCCGAUUUACCUUCAAUUGUUUUGAGUAGAGUAGUGUGUAAAAAAGGGUAUUGUGGUUGGACGAGAUGGAGCAGUCAAAUGUACAUAACCGACAUUUGGGAGAAUAUUGUCCCAUAAUAUUGAGUCUCGGAAGUUGUUGAGUUGAUGGUCCUUUGAACUUACAUGCUACAGUUUUCUGCAGCGUGUCACCUCAACUCAGCGUCAGGCUGAGAGUCAAGUUCUGGAUGCACACACUGGUGAAAUUGAUGGUCAGCCAUACUGGUACUAUGAGUACCUUGUUCGCAAAGCACCCACAAAAACUGCUGACGAAUCUACCAAUUAUAGACACUAUGUGGCCUCAACAACCGAACGAGAUGGUAGGAAAAAUGUUUCUAGUGCAAAACGUAUGAUUUUCAUGUCAUUCUCUUUUCUCAUCCUCCAGCGGACCACGGAUUAUGCAUUCUUAAGGGGGAGGCCGGAGGCGAUGCCAUUUGGCUAAAAAAGUAGAUAAUAAUACAAUUUAAAACCUCUCAUUGAAUCGUGCGAAAACUCGAUUGCAGGUUACCUGUACUCUAUUAAUGCUUCAACCCUCAAUAAGCAGUGGAACAUAGUGGGGCCUAUCUUACAAAAAACAGUAGCUUCAUUUCACCUUCUCCCUCCCACAGAAAACUACGUUCCUCCAUUCAAGGAUCUGUGGAGAUUCUGGUGAC